AUGGCCUUGAAUCAAGGCCCGCAACUUCCUGACACUGUUGGUCGCAAACAAGAGCCUAAAGAGAUGUCUUUCUAUGUCUGUUGGCCAUUUCAGAAUUUGGCAGUGAAAUGGUCAAUUCAUUAGAAAGAGGCAGCU
ensembl:snoRNA